AAUAUUGCGUGUCUCCAGUAACGGCACCAGGCCCUCCCAGUCCACACAUUGGCGCGUCACUUUUGCACUAACUGUGACUGGAUGGUACUUAUUAUCAGACCAAAAAUAUGGAUGCGGAUUCAGGUCGGGAUAGCAGAGCAUUGACGAUCUGAUUGAUUCAAGACAGUGGACUAGAUUGCGUCAACUAUCAUUCGAGCUGAAGUUGGAAAUCCAAGAGAAAUUCAGGAUCUUACAGCCAUGGACCCGAUUGUAUUCCAGCUCCUCUGCAGGGGAGUCUGGGUAGUAAUAAUCGGGGUAUAGCAUCUGGCGUAUACGUCUCUAUAUCUGACUACAAUGCAGGUUAUGUAUGAUGCCCAGCUCAGUUGCAA
rnacentral:lncRNA from 1 species